rnacentral:misc_RNA from 1 species
AGUCGUAACAAGGUUUCCGUAGGUGAACCUGCGGAAGGAUCAUUACAGUGUUCUGGAGGCCGGUCCGCCCCGUCCCUCACCGGGCGGGGUGGCCUGCGCCCCCUCCACACGUGUCUACCACACUCUGUUGCCUUGGUGGGCCUGCCCCCGUGGCUGCCGGGGAACGCCGCCGCGCGUCCCGGGCCCGUGCCCACCGAUGGAAAACCCCGAACCCUCUGUGAAUCUAGUGUGUCUGAGCGAUAGAGCGAAUGAAACAAAACUUUCAACAAUGGAUCUCUUGGUUCUGGCAUCGAUGAAGAACGCAGCGAAAUGCGAUAAGUAAUGUGAAUUGCAGAAUUCCGUGAAUCAUCGAAUCUUUGAACGCACAUUGCGCCCUCUGGUAUUCCGGGGGGCAUGCCUGUUCGAGCGUCAUUGCAACCCCUCAAGCUCGGCUUGUGUGUUGGGCCACCGUCCCCGCGUGUGUGGACGGGCCUCAAAGGCAGUGGCGGCGCCGAGAUACCGGUGUCUGAGUGUAUGGGCUUCCGUCAGCACUCGCAGGACCCGAUCGGCCCCGGUCGUGACUAUUCUCAUCUUCUAGUUUUGACCUCGGAUCAGGUAGGAAUACCCGCUGAACUUAAGCAUAUCAAUAAGCGGAGGAAAAGAAACCAACUGGGAUUGCCUCAGUAACGGCGAGUGAAGCGGCAAAAGCUCA